rnacentral:rRNA from 1 species
AUUGAACGCUGGCGGCAGGCCUAACACAUUCAAGUCGAGCGGAGCGGCGGACGGGUUAGUAAUGCCUAUGAAUCUGCCUGGUAGUGUGGGAUAACGUCCGGAACCGGGCGCUAAUCCCUCAUACUAUCAGAUGAGCCUAGGUCGGAUUAGCUAGUUGGGGGGGUAAAGGCCUACCAAGGCGACGAUCCGUACCUGGUCUGAGAGGCUGAUCAGUAACACUGGAACGGAGACACGGUCCAGACUCCUACGGGAGGCAGCAGUGGGGAAUAUUGGACAAUGGGCGAAAGCCGGAUCCAGCCAUGCCGCGGGUGUGAAGAAGGUCUUCGGAUUGUAAAGCACUUUAAGUUGGGAGGCGUUACCAACAGAAUAAGCACCGGCUAACUUCGUGCCAGCAGCCGCGGUAAUAC